UACGAAGGGGACAAGCGUUGUUCGGAAUUAUUGGGCGUAAAGGGCGCGUAGGCGGACCUGUAAGUCGAUUGUGAAAUCCCUGGGCUCAACCCGGGAACUGCAGUCGAAACUGCAAGUCUUGAAUGCUCGAGAGGAUGGUAGAAUUCCUGGUGUAGAGGUGAAAUUCGUAGAUAUCAGGAGGAAUACCGGAGGCGAAAGCGGCCAUCUGGCGAGACAUUGACGCUGAGGCACGAAAGCGUGGGGAUCAAACAGG
rnacentral:rRNA from 1 species